rnacentral:rRNA from 1 species
UACGGAGGGUGCAAGCAUUGUUCGGAAUUACUGGGCGUAAAGGGCGCGUAGGCGGUUGUAUAAGUCAGAUGUGAAAUUCCGGGGCUCAACCCCGGAGCUGCAUUUGAAACUAUAUAGCUAGAGUUCAGUUAGGGUAAACGGAAUUCCACGUGUAGCGGUGAAAUGCGUAGAUAUGUGGAAGAACACCGGUGGUGAAGACGGUUUACUGGGCUGAUACUGACGCUGAGGCGCGAAAGCAUGGGGAGCAAACAGG